GGUCCGCUGGCUCAAUGGCAGAGCGUCUGACUACGAUCUUGAGGGUUCUCAUCCCCUCAGGAAGCGAUCAGGAGGUUCCAGGUUCGACCCCUGGGUGGAUCG